CCUGGCGGCAAUAGCGCGGUGGUCCCACCUGACCCCAUGCCGAACUCAGAAGUGAAACGCCGUAGCGCCGAUGGUAGUGUGGGGUCUC
rnacentral:rRNA from 2 species